CAGUAGCCGCGGUAAUACGGAGGGGGCUAGCGUUGUUCGGAAUUACUGGGCGUAAAGCGUACGUAGGCGGUUUUGUAAGUCAGAGGUGAAAGCCCGGAGCUCAACUCCGGAAUUGCCUUUAAGACUGCAUCACUUGAAUCGUGGAGAGGUGAGUGGAAUUCCGAGUGUAGAGGUGAAAUUCGUAGAUAUUCGGAAGAACACCAGUGGCGAAGGCGGCUCACUGGACACGUAUUGACGCAGAGGUACGAAAGCGUGGGGAGCAAACAGGAUUAGAUACCCUGUAGUCCCUGUCUCUUAUACA
rnacentral:rRNA from 1 species